AUUGAACGCUGGCGGCAGGCCUAACACAUGCAAGUCGAGCGGAUGACGGGAGCUUGCUCCUUGAUUCAGCGGCGGACGGGUGAGUAAUGCCUAGGAAUCUGCCUGGUCGUGGGGGACAACGUUUCGAAAGGAACGAUAAUACCGCAUACGUCCUACGGGAGAAAGCAGGGGACCUGCGGGCCUUGCGCUAGCAGAUGAGCCUAGGUCGGAUUAGCUAGCAGGUGAGGUAAUGGCUCACCUAGGCGACGAUCCGUAACUGGUCUGAGAGGAUGAUCAGUCACACUGGAACUGAGACACGGUCCAGACUCCUACGGGAGGCAGCAGUGGGGAAUAUUGGACAAUGGGCGAAAGCCUGAUCCAGCCAUGCCGCGUGUGUGAAGAAGGUCUUCGGAUUGUAAAGCACUUUAAGUUGGGAGGAAGGGCAGUAAGCUAAUACCUUGCUGUUUUGACGUUACCGACAGAAUAAGCACCGGCUAACUCUGUGCCAGCCGCCGCCGUAAGAC
rnacentral:rRNA from 1 species